AUUAUAUACAUAGUUAGUUAAUUCGGAUUCAAUAAAAAUUCGGUAUGGAUAUAAUUCGGAUAAAAUUUGUUUUUUAAUUUUUAAAUUCGUUGAAAAAUACUGCUAAAAAACGGAUCCGGUAAUUAUUCGGAUACGUAAUUUAUACUGAUAUUAUACGUUCACCAAUUAAAAAUUCGGAAUAAAAAAUUCGGCUAUAUAAUAAAUAUAUAAUAAUUAAUAUACUAUAUAUAUUAUUAUUAUAAUUUUUAUAUAUAGAUUAANNN
rnacentral:lncRNA from 1 species